CCAGACUCCUACGGGAGGCAGCAGUGGGGAAUAUUGGGCAAUGGGCGCAAGCCUGACCCAGCAACGCCGCGUGAAGGAAGAAGGCUUUCGGGUUGUAAACUUCUUUUGACAGGGAAGAGCAGAAGACGGUACCUGUCGAAUAAGCCACGGCUAACUACGUGCCAGCAGCCGCGGUAAUACGUAGGUGGCAAGCGUUGUCCGGAUUUACUGGGUGUAAAGGGCGUGUAGCCGGGCUGACAAGUCAGAUGUGAAAUCCCCGCGCUCAACGUGGGAACUGCCUUUGAAACUGGCAAACUGGAGUGUGUGAGAGGAUAGUGGAAUUCCAGGUGUAGGAGUGAAAUCCGUAGAUAUCUGGAGGAACAUCAGUGGCGAAGGCGACUAUCUGGCACAUAACUGACGCUGAGGAGCGAAAGCGUGGGUAGCAAACAGGAUUAGAUACCCUCGUAC
rnacentral:rRNA from 1 species